CACUCCGCUCAGUGCUGGCCGCGGCCCGGCUGGGAGCGCUUUGAUUUUCAAGUGCCGCCGCGGGCUCGGGGCAUUCUGGGCACCCUCUGAAAGGAGCCUAUCCCCACCUUACGUUGUCAGCAGCCUGAGGUUUCCUUGCCUGUUGUCUGUAACACCCCCGCUUCCCCAUUCCGCCCCGACACAGAGUCCAGACAGGCAGGCAGGCAGGCCCCGGCCUCGUCUGCGGCUGAGUGGGGUCCCAGCUCCAGGGAAACGCUUGAUGCGGUCGCUCAGGUUUGCAUUAAGAGAAACCUGCUUUUUCUUAGUGAGAAAAUGGAGAAAAAUGGAAAGCACCUUUUAUCCUACCAUCGGAGGGAGAGCCGUGGAUUCCAUUUAGAGAUAAGCCAGCCUCGAUUUGUCAAGCUUCAGCCCCCUGAGUUGUGCCUGUCAUCCUACAGGACGAGGCAGAGAAGAGGGUGAGAGUUGAAGAAACGUGCUCCACCAGACAAGCAUAAAAAACACAAAGGUGGUGCAGGUGAUGGGAAGUGUUACAAAGUCCAACAUGGCCUUUUACUGGAAAGAGAGACAAGGGGGUCAAAACACUUUCCGGAGGCCCUGCUUCUUUUAGGCCUCGGGCACAGGCUGCACCUUGGAAGGCAGGCAGGCUGACUCAGGAAGACAUGUUCUCUAGGAUACUACUGGGUUACUCAAUAUGGGUGCUGAGUCCCUACACCUGCCCUGAAAAUACUUCACCCACAGCCAUGGCGGCUAACUGUUCUCUUCAAGUGUCCACAACCUGUAUGGCUGCCUCGUGGUCAGCCCGACUGCUCCUCACAUCCUGAUUGGGGACCUGUUAUGCUGACUGGCCCAUGGAGACAGGCACUUUGUUUCUGAUAUAACAUCUGAGACUGAA